rnacentral:lncRNA from 1 species
CCCCGAGCAUGAUUAACCUAGGCACAUGCAUAUACGCUCGUCACCUCAUAUAUGCAUCACCCCUGCAUGUAGCAAACAAUGUCAAUUAGUAGGAAAAUUCCCUGAUGGUAGGCUAUAAUUGCGUAUUUUUGGUCAUUAAUUGCCCUCUAAUUCACUGCACUUUACUAGUGUUUGAGUUUUAAAUGGUAUUAUUUGGCACUAAGUAUGUGUUUUAUGCCUUAUAGGAACGAUUCCGAGUUACGAUGAGUUUGUGGAGCUAAUUCGAGCUAUUGUGGAGCUAAUUCGAGCUAUUGUGGAGCUUUGAAGUCUGAGUAAAAGCCUAAGGAUUAAGUUGGAAUCGUGUUUGGGGAUCAACAGACAAUAGUGCACUUAACGAGAGAAAUGAAGAGUUGAACGGGAGGCUCACCAAGAUGUACGACCGCAUAUGAGACCCCUCCAGCAGGCCCUUGAGCGCGCAAGUAAAGCAGUGCACCGCCAGAGGUGCGCGGCCAUAUGAGCGAUCACACCUUUAGGUGCGCGGCCACGCACGUCCAGUUCCGGAAACUUAUCCCAAGCCUAUUUUUGUAAUUUUGGAGGCGCCUCCUUUUGACCUAUAUGAAGCCUAGCUCAUCUAAAAAUAGGGUAUCUUGGAAUUUUAGAGCAACUUUUGGGAGAGAAGAAGAAAGGAAGCAACGGGAACGCAAAAUACUUGAUCCAAUUCAUUCAAUACGGAAGUUUGUUUGAUUUUGGGAAUUGUAAUGUCUUCUUGUUCUUCUAAUACUCUUGUGAUGAAUAACUUCUCCACUAUAGAGUAAUCUUUCUUAGGGUUAUUGACGAAUGUCGUGAUUUGACUAUUGUUUUGGAUUUUACUCUCUGUUCAUUGCCUGAAUUCAUUGAAUGAGUUAUUAAUUGAAUUGCAAGUCUAAUUGUGGUUUUACUUUAAUCCAAAGAGAAGUGUUGGUGCAAUUCGCAUUGUGCCAUAUUGUUUGGGUUGAUUUUACGCCUCUCAUAGGUAAUCGAAAGAGCUUAGAGAGUUAUCAAUUAACCUAGGUUAGAAGAAUAGUCGAGAGGCAUUCUUCGAAAGAUCAUUCAUUCACUAUAUUUGUGCAUAUGUUCAUAGGACGUGCUUUUAGGUUGAUUAAGGGAACUCUCAUUCAUUCAGAAGAAGAAUUUGAAUCCCCAAGGUAGCCUAAUCGUCUGUUGAAAUCGAAUGAGUCAAUAGAAGUUAAAAGUGAACUUAACAUAGAGUUACCCGGAAUAAUAGUUGAUCCAAUAUCUUGUCACAACCCUUACUUCUCACCUUGAUAUUCAAUCAUUUCUACUUAGUCAUUAGAUUGCCAUUAGUUUCUUACAAUCAAUAAUCUUAGUUUUAUUAGUAGUCGAUAAUAACAUAAAUCAAAGAUUUAUUAUCUCGAAUAGUGUUGAGCUGAAGAUUUAUUAGAAUAUUAUUUAAACCAAUCCCUAUGGAGACGAUUUAAUACUAUACCAUCUUUGACUAGCGAGCCUAAGUUUUAUACGCCGAUUUUGCACUCGUUAAAUUUUGGCGUCAUUGCCAGAGAUUGGCGAUUAAUAGUGUUUGAAUUAACUUUCGGUGCUAAUUCAGGAGUUAUUUUAUUUUGUUUUGUUUUUUUACGCUACUCUUUUAUCUGUGUGCAGGCAACAGGUUAAGUUUUGCGGUGUAUGACUCGAUCCUCUUCUAAGGAAUUGGUGCCAUACGAUCCAAAAUUAGACAAGCACUUGCGGCAUUUGAGAAGGGAGAGAGAAUCGAGCAGAUUGUUGUUGGGUCAGCCUUCAACUGAGAAUAAAAUGGUGAACAACGAAGAGGAGGUGGACCUAGCUGCGAGAGAGGUAGCUCAGUGACAGGAAGCACGGUUAGUAGUUGAAGCAGCCCGUAGAGUUGUGGAUGAAACAAUCGACGGGGAUAGAAGGUUCAAUCUCAACCGAACCAUGAUCGAAGAUAAAUUUGAAAAUGCAUCCCCUUGGCCUGGGAGGUCACUAGGAGAUUAUGCCUGACCGGUGUACAACCAACAAUAGUCUAGCGUGAGGCCCCCACCCAUUGAUGCCAAUAAUUUUGAACUCAAACAGGGAGUCAUCCAGACCAUUCAGAACAAUUGCAUAUUCAGAGAUAGAAGAAAAAGAGAGUGAAGAGCAAAAUGGCCAGAGUAGCAGGGUACAAAAGGAGAUUGAAGAAAGUAGACAUAUGCUAGCUCUACCAUUCCCUUAAAAGAUGAAGCGGGAGAAACUUGACAAAUGUUUUGGGUGAUUCCUGGAGAUGCUCAAGCAACUUUAUGUAAACAUUCCUUUCACAGAGGUACUCACUCAGAUGCCUGCUUAUGUCAAGUUCUUAAAGGAUAUCCUGUCGAGCAAGAGAAAAUUAGAGGAAACAAUUGUGGUUAAGCUAAACACCCACUGCAGUGCCAUCUUGCAAAAUAAAAUUCCCUAAAAGUGUGGGGACCCAGGAAGCUUCACCAUACCAUGCUCAUUGGGGAGUGAAAAAUUCUACAAGGCCCUCUACGAUUCUGGUGCGUCUAUAAAUCUAAUGUCUCUAUCUAUAUUCAUAAAACUGGAAGGUGAGCUUGGAGUGAUCAAAUCAAUAUCAGUGUCCCUACAACUGGCUGACCAAACUAUCAUUAUACCUGAGGGAAUCAUCGAGGAUAUUUUAGUACGGGUGGACAAGUUUAUGUUCCCCAUAGAUUUUAUUGUGGUGGAUAUGGAGGUGAACAAGGAGGUACCUCUAAUUCUAGGGAGGUCGUUCUUAUGUACAGGUAGAGCUAUCCUUAAUAUCUAUGAAAGGCAGCUUAUGCUCAGAGUGGGCAAUGAAAAUGUGGUGUUUCAGAUGAAGAGGGUGAUGAAAUACCCUAGUGAUGAGGCAUCCGCCUACUUGUGUUUCAAGUUAGACAUUGUUGGAGAAUUGACCGAAAAAUAUAAUUUUGACAAGCUUGUGGGGGAUACCCUAGAGAGGUGUAUUACUCAGUCUAGCACAGUGGAGGAUGAAGAUCUUGAAAUAAAGAAAGAGGUUGAAGCUCUUGAGACUAAGGAUCAAGUGGUUGAUGAGGAUGAACUAAAAGAGGAGGAUGCUAAGCCUAAUGUGGAAUUGCAAGUCCUCCCCACUCACUUAAAAUAUGCUUUUCUUGAAAAUAACAAUUUUCCUGUGAUUAUUUCUGCUGACUUGACAGGUACAUAGGAGCGAAAGCUGGUGGAGCUACUGAAAAAGCACAGGAAGGCCAUGGGAUGGAGUAUAGCUGAUAUUCACGGAAUCAGUCCGGCCAUUUGCAUGCACAAAAUUCUGUUGGAAGAAAAUAGCAAGCCAGUGAUGCAGCCUCAACACAAGCUGAACAAAAAUUUGGAGGAGGUAGUGCACAAGGAGAUCAUCAAAUUGCUAGAUGCAGGAGUAAUUUUUCCCAUCUCUGAUACCAAGUGGAUUAGUCCAGUAAAAGUUAUACCUAAGAAGGGGGGCAUGACAGUAGUGAAAAAUGAAGAUAAUGAAUUGAUCCCCAUAAGAACAGUCACUGGGUAGAGAAUGUGUAUUGAUUAUAGAAGGUUGAAUGAUGCAAUAAUGAAGGACCACUUCCCACUCCCCUUUUUUUGAUCAAAUGCUCGAGAAAGUGGCUGGACAUGGAUGCUACUGCUUCUUGGAUGGGUACUCAGGUUACAAUCAGAUACCCAUUGCUCCAGAAGAUGUUAAGAAGACCACAUUUACUUGCCCGUCAGGUAUUUUUGCUUAUAGAAGGAUGUCGUUUGGGCUAUGUAAUGCACCUGCCACUUUUUAGAGGUGCAUGAUGUCUAUAUUCUCUGAUUUAAACGAAAAGUGUUUAGAAGUAUUCAUGGAUGAUUUCAGCCUCUUUGGUGAUGACUUUGAGGACUGCUUGAAGAAUUUAGAGCUCGUGCUUGAACGUUGUGAAGCCAUACACUUGGUCCUUAACUGGGAGAAGUGUCACUUCAUGGUGAAGGAGGGAAUGGUCUUAGGCCACAAAAUGACUGCACAAGGAAUUGAAGUUGAUAGAGCGAAGGUUGAUGUGAUUGCUAGGCUCCCUCCACCAACUUUUAUGAAGAGCAUAAGGAGUUUCUUGGGACAUGGUGGGUUCUAUAGGAGGUUCAUCAAAAACUUUUCUAGCAUUACCAAACCAUCAAUUGUAUUGCUAGCAAAAGAUGUCAAGUUUGUUUUCAAUGUGGAGUGCUUAAGAGCUUUUGAAUUGAUAAAGGAAAAGCUUGUAAGUGCUCUUAUUAUGGUGACACCUGAUUAGAUCCAGCCAUUUGAGAUAAUGUGUGAUGCUAGUGAUGUAGUUGUAGGGGAAGUUCUGGGGUAAAGAAAAGAUAGAAUUUUUAGGCCAAUCUACUAUGCAAGCAAGACAUUAAAUGAUGCUCAAGUCAACUAUGCCACUACUGAAAAAGAGUUCUUUGUUGUGGUCUUUCUUCUUGACAAGUUUAGAUCAUACCUGGUGGGGAGCAAAGUGAUUGUACACACGGAUCACUCAGCUUUGAAAUAUCUUUUGAGCAAGAAGGAGUCCAAGUCGUGUCUGAUGCGGUGAGUGUUAUUGCUCCAAGAGUUUGACUUGGAGAUUAAAGAUAGGAAAGGCGCAGAAAAUCAAGUUGCCGAUCAUCUAUCUCGACUUGAGAGACCUCCAGUUGAAACAGUUAAAUAAGGGAAGAAUUCCCUGAUGAGCAUAUUUUCUCAAUUGUUGCGGUCUCCGAAAGGCCACCUUGGUAUGCUGAUGUAGCCAGCUUUUUGGCUGGUGGAUGAUUACCUCAUGACCUCUCUCGUGAUCAAAGAAGGAAGCUUCAAGAUGAGGUAAAAAUUUAUUUUUUGAAUGACCCUUUCUUGUUUAAACUGUGUAUAGAUGGUAUGAUUUGAAGAUGUGUGCCUGAAGGAGAGAUGGCAAGCGUUCUGUCUCAUUACCAUGAUGGAGCAGCUGGAGGACACUAUGGUGGAAAUCGCACUGCAGCAAAGGUCAUGGAAGCAUGUUUCUUUUGGCCUACUUUGUACAAAUACGCAAGAGCGUAUGUAGCUGCAUGUGACAAGUGUCAAAGGACAGUAAUAUUAGCAAGAGGGACGAAAUGCCUCUCAACUCAAUUCUAGUAUGUGAAAUUUUUUAUUUGUGGGGCAUUGACUUCAUGGGUCCAUUCCCAUCGUCCCAUUCUUAUGAGUAUAUCCUAGUAGUCGUUGACUAUGUCUCUAAGUGGGUCGAAGCAAUCCUUACUAGGACCAAUGAUGCUCCGAUGGUGUGUGAGUUCUUAAGAAAAAACAUCUUUACCCACUUUGGGACACCUCGAGUGAUUAUCAGUGAUAGUGGGUCACACUUUGUGAACAAGCAGUUUGCUACACUAUUGUCUAAGUAUGCGGUCACACAUAAAACAGGAACCCCGUGCCAUGCCCAAACUAGUGGGCAAGUUGAAGUGGCUAACCGUGAACUUAAACGAAUUCUUGAAAAGAUGGUUAGUGCUUCUCAUAAGGAUUUUUCUGUAAAGUUGGAAGAAGCUCUAUGGGCGUACAGAACUGCGUUCAAAACAACCAUAGGGACUUCACCGUUCAAACUAGUGUAUGAAAAAUUAUGUCACCUACAUGUUGAGAUAGAACAUAAAGCCAGUUAUAUGUUCUACCCACCUAACUGUUAUGUAUGUUAGUUAACCUCUUUGAGCAUGUAAUCUAGUUUAUUUGGCAACCACAUUACAAGUCUUGCCCAGUUAUUUGAAUUGACCAUCUAUUUGUACCUUUUACCUCUCAUGAGCACUUGAAUUUGUUAUGAACUUUGUAGAAGUUGAAGUGUGGGGUGGUUGGAUUGGCUUUUGUGUGGAACUAAUGAAAUAAGAAGAAAGGUGCACUAGUUUGAAAAAGUAAGAGCCACUUGAAUCGAAAUAAAAAUAUAUAUUGUAUGGGUGUGUAAAUAUUCCUUGAUAGUGGUAUCUCUUGAUGUAAUUGUGCUUAAAGAAAUAGGGAGUUAAUGUAUAUUGACGUGAAAGUGGAGUAAUGGUUUGAAAUAAGUGUGGGGUUUUGGAAGGUAAAUUGUAUGUAUUAAAGUGCUUAGAGAGGUGUAGUCACUCUUAUAUCUAAAUGUAUCAUAUCCAUCCCAUAGCUUACAUUACAACCAAUUAAAGUCCUACUUGAUCCUUGACUGAAUGAACUCGAUUAGUAGAGUAGUACACUAAGGGCAAGCCUAUAGUUCAUCUUUUGUGGCAUAUGAAUGUUGUUUCUGAGAGUGAGUGAAUUCUUUCUAUCUUGAGUUCUUAAUUAUUUGUAAUGUUUAUUGUGUGGAACUACUCUCUAUUUUUGUGGGAGGGCACUGGAUUCACGAAGGAAAGGUAAUGCUUGACCUCUGUGUUAGAGUAAGUGAGUGAGUUAUAAAUAAUGUGUGGUGCUUUUGAGUCAAAUCUUGAGGUUAAGAUGUACGAUAUUGUACUUAAUCUAUUUUAAAGAGUCUUGGUAUGAUGAGUCAUGAGAGUUGUUGAAAAAGGUCGUAUUUUAGGUGAAGUGUAGUUUGAUUGCUCGAGGACGAGCAAUGGUUUAAGUAUGGGGUGUUGAUGGUAGGCUACAAUUGCGUAUUUUUGGCCAUUAAUUGACUUCUAAUUCGCUGCACUUUACUAGUGUUUGAGCUUUAAAUGAUAUUAUUUGGCAUUACGUAUGUGUUUUAUACCUUGUAGGAGCGAUUUUGAGUUACGAUGAGGUUGUGGAGCUAAUUCGAGCUAUUGUGGAGCUUUGAAGUCUGAGUAAAAGCUAAAGGAUUAAGUUGGAAUCGUGUUCGGGGAUCAACGGACAAUAGUGCACUUAAAGGGAGAAACGAAGAGUUGAGCAGGAGGCUCACCCAGAUGCGCGACCGCGCAUGAGACCCUUCCAACGCGCACUUGAGCGCACAACUAAAGCAGUGCACUGCCAGAGGUGCGUGUCCAUAUAUGCGAUCACACCUACAGGUGCGCGGCCGCGCACGUCCAGUUCCGGAAACUUUUCCCAAGCCUAUUUUUGUAAUCUCUGAGGCGCCUCCUUUCGACCUAUAUGAAUCCUAGCUCAUCUAAAAACAGGUUAUCUUGGAAUUUUAGAGCAACUUUUGGAAGAGAAGAAGAAAGGAAACAACGGGAACACAAAAUACUCGAUCCAAUUCAUUCAAUACAGAAGUUUAUUUGAUUUUGGGAAUUGUAAUGUCUUCUUGUUCUUCUAAUACCCUUGUGAUGAAUAACUUCUCCAUUAUGGAGUAAUCUUUCUUAGGGUUAUUUACGGAUGUCGUGAUUUGACUAUUAUUUUGGGUUUUACUCUCUCUUCAUUGCCCGAAUUCAUUGAAUGAGUUAUUAAUUGAAUUGUAAGGCUAAUUAUGGUUUUACUUUAAUCGAAAGAGAAGUGUUGCUGCAAUUCGCUUUGUGGCAUAUUGUUUGGGUUGAUUUUACGCCUCUCAUAGGUAAUCGAAAGAGCUUAGAGAGUUAUAAAUUAACCCAUGUUAGAAGAAUAGUCGAGAGGCAUUCUUCGAAAGAUCAUUCAUUCACUGUAUUUGUGCAUAUGUUCAUAGCAACUGCUAUUAGGUUGAUUAAGGGAACUCUCGUUCAUUCAGAAGAAGAAUUUGAAUCCCUAAGGUAGCCUAAUCGUCUGUUGAAAUCGAAUGAGUCAAUAGAAGUUAAGAGUGAACUUAACACAAAGUUACCCGGAAUAAUAGUUGAUCACAUAUCUUGUCACAGCCCUUACUUCUCACCUUGAUAUUCAAUCGUUGCUACUUAGUCAUUAGAUUGCCAUUAGUUUCUUACAAUCAAUAACUUUAGUUUUAUUAGUAGUCGAUAAUAACACAAAUCAAAGAUUUAUUAUCUCGAAUAGUGUUGAGCUGAAGAUUUAUUAGAACAUUAUUUAAACCAAUCCAUGUGGAGACGAUUUAAUACUAUACUAUCUUUGACUAGUGAGCCUAAAUUUUAUACACCGAUUUUGCGCUCAUCAUUCCCUUUACAAAGAUAGGCCAGACACUUACAUCAAACAAGCCCAAUCGUUACACUAGAAGCGCCAUCCCGCUCAAAUCAUCCCCUGAACGACUCGAAACUAGCUAAAAGCAACUCAAAAUCAUCAAAUAAUGCCAUAGGAAGCAAACCCAAUCAAUAAAGGUCGAAUAUUUACAUAUUUACUCAAAGUCAACAAAAAAUUCAAACUGGGGACCACACCUCAGAACCCGACAAAACUCAUAAAAUUUGAUAACCUAUUUAAUUACGAGUCCAACCAUACUAAUUUCACUCAAUUCCGACUACGAAUCAAUGUUCAAAACUCAAAAAUUCACUUUAGAAAAAUUUAGACAAAACCCCCAAUUUCUCUUUUGAAAUCAUCAAUCAAUUGCUAAAAAUAAAGAUGGAAUCAUGAAAUAUAAUCAAAACCAAGUAGAGAAUACUUACCCCAAUCUAUGUGUUGGAAAUCACCUAAAUCCGAGCUCCCCAACUCAAAAUGUUAUGAAAUAACUCAGAGUUUGAAAAUAUAGUACUUUAUAAUAACUGGGCAGCAAUACACAUCGCGAUCGCAGGACAUCCUUUGCGAUCACGAAGAACAAAUGCUACUACCAUCAAAAUACUCUACGCGUUCGCGAUACUGGCCACGCGGACGCGAUGACCACAUGCGCUAAAUCUCUACGAACGCGAACUGACUUGCGCAAAUGCGAUGAAGAAUUCUCCAGCUCCUGCUCCCGCUCAACCCUACGCGUCCGCGAUACCCCAUGCACGAACGUGAACUGUAACCAAUCUAACCCUUCGCGAUCGCAUAACAUUUAUCGUGUCCGUGAUGAAAAAAUCCACCAGUAGACCAAAUUACUCUUCGCGAUCGCGACUGGACCUUCGCAAUCAUGAAGAACACUAGGGGCAUCAGAUAACAGCAGAAACCGUCAAUGCAUGAAAACUCCAAAAUGGUCCGAAAUCAACCCGAAACGCACCUGAGCCCCUCGUGACCCCGUCCAAACAUACCAACAAGUCCCAUAACAUAACAUAGACUUACUCAUGCCUAACAACAUCAAAACUACAAAAUCGCACCUUAAAUCGAACUUAAUAAACUUUUAACUUUCAACUUCUAAAUCUCGUGCCGCAUCAUACCAAAUCAACUCGGGUUGACCUCAAAUUUUUGCACACAAGUUCCAAAUGACAUAACGAAGCUAUUCCAACUCUCGGAACCAAAAUUUGAUCCCAAUAUCACUAAAGUCAACUUCCGGUCAAACUUAUGAAUAUUCCAAAACUCCAAAUUGCCAACUUUCGUCAAUUAACAUCAAAACCUUCAAGAAACAUCCAAAUGCAAAUUCGUGAAUACGCCCAAGUCCAAAAUCACCGUCCAGAUCUAAUAGAACUGUCAAAACUCCGAUCAGGGAUCAAAUAUAUAAAAGUCAAACUUAGUCAACUCUUCCAACUCAAAACUUUUAAACGGAAUGUAAAUGCUCAAAACGACCGGUCAGGUCGUUACAUUUAAAUAAAGAGAUAAGGUCUAAAUUUAAUCAUCAAUUAAUACCCUAUCUAGUAGGUGCACAAUAACUUGACAAAAUAAUUAUAACGUAAAUAUAAUUAUCUAUAAAGUUGUGAAAAAAUAUUUAAAAAAUUAUGAAAACAUGAUAUCAACACCAAAUAUCAUUAGCUAUAGAUUUUUUAUUGUAAAAGACCUCAAUAGAUUGAGAGAGGUUAAUAUGAUAGAAUAACUAUUGUGGCUUUUCAUAACUAUGCAAGUUCACUUAAAUGUCUCCUCCUCCCCUUAACACAAAAGAGAAUACAAAACGGUCAAAUAAGUUCAAAAAAUGUUAAAGGAGAAAAACUGAAGCUCAUGCAGUAAAGGGAUCGAGAAUAAAACAUACUAGUGUAUGAUUCUAGAGGGAUCGUAGAUGGAGAAGCUUUUAGAGCUACCUUCUUUUAAUAAAUAUCAACAACAACAACAACAACAACAAUAACAAUAACCCAGUAUAAUCCCACUAGUGGGGUCUGGGGAGGGUAUUGUGUACGCAGACCUUACCCCUACCUUGGGGUAGAGAGGCUGUUUUCGAUAGACCCUCGGCUCCCUCCCUCCAAGAACUACCCACCUUGCUCUUGGGGUGACUCGAACUCACAACCUCUUGGUUGAAAGUGGAGGGUGCUCACUACUAGAGCAACACACUCUUGUCAUAUCUUUUUAUAAAUAUCAAUUUGUUGAUUUUGAUGAUGCGCUUCAUAAAAUUUAUCUCGUUCCACACUGUAAUUUCCCAGCUUUCUAAUAUGGAUUUGCACAGUUACAGAAUAAAUCAUGGUUAUAUAACAUCAUAAUUUUAUAUAGUAAAAAAGACUACAAUGAAACUCAAUAAGUUUAGUCUGCUUCUAAUACUGUAUCAUGAGAUGAGAAUCUCUAACAAUUUCAUUUUAUGAUUAUCAAAAUCCAAAAUUUAUCUAUAAAAUAAAGAUUCCACUCAAAUAUUUGUAUCUCUAUAACACAAAAAGGCAAAACAAACACAAAAAUACAACAUGUAAAAGAUAACUUUCGUGAAUUAGGAUAUGAGGAGAUAUGCUUUAAUAUUGUUACGAAGUCCAUGUACGUACGGGAAUUAUAUUCUUAUAGUAUUAUGAGACUUAGACUCCAAGAAAUCUUUGUUUAUAUAUUUUGUUAUAUUUCAUGUUUGAAUUUAUGAAAGAGAGGAUUUUUUUAAAAUAGUAUCAGAGCAAGUUAUUGAAUAUUUUUUUUUGUCUCUUCUCUUCACAGUUCACAAUUUAAUAGCGAGACAAAAGGAGCUAUGGAUGACGACUUAAUUUUUGAACGUGCGUCAUCCAUAUUACUCUAUGGAUAUAGUGAUUCAGAUUGGGGAGGUAACGUUGAUGAUCGUAGGUCCACUGUUGGAUUUGCUAUUUUUUCUUGUUGGCUUGCACUUGAUUUCUUAGGCCUCUCUGAAGCGAAAAAUUAUCUCGCAGUCAAGCACUAAGGUAGAAUAUUGAGCACUAGUUAUUGCCAUGUCUGGAAUCACAUGUGGUACACCUCCCUUUUCCUGAAGGUAUAGGAUUUGUUUUCCAAUUUAAAGUGACAUGAUUCAAAAUGAGAUUAUUUAUUUAUUUAUUCAGAGUCACCACUUGGAAUAAUUUAUGGUGUCUCAAGUCACCGGAUUAUUUUAAAUCCCAAAUCGAGAAAAUUUGACUCUGUUUAAAGUCUGCAAAUACAUAAGACCGGGUAAGGAAUUCUGUUAACUCGGAAAAAUGUGUUAUGCAUUCCCGAGUUCCGUGGUUUUAGCACGGUCGCUUAACUAUUAAUAAUUGGUUAAUUACCUGAUUUAUUAUAUAUUUGGAACCUAUUGUGCAUUUUUAACUUCUAACCGCUUUUAAUAGAGUUUUAAUUGCUUUUAGGAUUUAUGAAAUUUAUUUGAAUAAGUCGCGAUAUCGCGCACUUAUUAUUUUUUUUACACAUUGUGAAUCGUGUCACGUGAAAUGUACCCGCGGUCUACAACAUGUUUAUUUUUAUUAUUGUUUGAAGUUGAGAUCGAGUCACGUGAAACGCACACUCGAAUUGGGGUUAUGUAUCAUGACUAUGCCACGGAAAAUGUACCCAUAGUCACGAUAAUUUAUUAAUCGCGCCAAAAGCAAGCUACGAAUUUGAAAUAUUUUUCCUCAUUUGAGAUUAUUGCAAAGCAUGAGAUUUAUGAAAGAUUAUUAUGGAGGAAAUAGAGUAAAUUAAUUAUAGAAAAAGGUAGGCUAGCUUAUGAAUUUUAUUAAUAUGCCUUGUAGAAUCUUGUCAUUUGGUCCAAGAGCUAAAAAAAGUAAAAAUAAAAUGUGGUUCAUUACUCUACUCUAAUCCCAAUUGACCAAAUGGUCCAAAUGCUAUUUAUGAUACCAAACCCCAAACCUUUAUCUUAAAAUCUAAAAUGUUUAUCACAUGUCCAUCAUCACCCCUAACAAAUGUUAACAAACAGAAAACAAUUUAACAGCUUAUGCAAAUUACGAACAGGAAAAGAAAGAAGAAAGAAAAAUUAAAUGAAAGAAAAAAUAAUAAAUUUAAAAAAAAACACUCAAACAAUCAGCACCUAUUUACAAGAAAAAUUCGCUCAAAAGGAAACUAUGAUUCCAAUUUAACAAACUUAAGACACUUUCGAAAGCUAAUCAUAAGAAGAACUAAAUAAUCAAGCUCAUAUAGCAGAAUAAAAGAAACUCAAUCCAUUUUCCACAUAUUACACAAAUAAAAAAUAUAUAUACUCAUAUGCUUAAGAAUAGAAUUAAAAAUUCAGUGAGAAAAACCAAUCUUAAUGGCUGAGAAGAAAACCAGAUCAAAGCAAAAAAGACCGACGAACCGAAGCUGUAAGCGAGAACCUCGAACGACUUCGAACUUUAAUUCUUACCUCGCUGAAUAAACGGCCUAUUAGUGUGUUUUGUGAGCUACGUUUUUGUAGGUUGUUUAGAGUAGAGAAGAGUGGUUUUCAAGCUGAAUUUAUGGGGAUCUCCAGCGAGUUUUGGGACUAUUUGCUAAAGGAUGGAACUUAGCUCAUGGGUUUUGGGUGAUUUUUGGCUGUAGAUCUCAAUUGCUGCGUUUUUCAGAAGAUAUUUCUGAUGAAGUGGUGUUGGAAGCAACAAUGAAUUCUUCUUCUUGUUGUUGCAUUAUCAUCUACCAUGUUUUCCAAUCGAAGGUCCUUGAGCUUAUCCAAGAUCCACCCGUUUUUCCCUCUUUAAAUUCCCUCACUCCCGAUCUGCCUUUUUCUCUUAUUUUUUAUUUUUUUGAUCUGUUGUGGAUCCCCUCUUGAAUCAUAGAAUGAGAGCCUUUUAAUGAUGUAGGUUAUUUUAGGGGGAAAAUCUGAUGGGGUUUUGGCUAUUGGGCUCAGAUUUGGCCCAAUUUGGGCCAUGACUUGGGCAUUUGAACAAAGCAAGACUUUAGGAGAACUAGUCCAAAUUAAAACUUUUUUUUUGUGAUUGUAAUUUUCUUUUAGGAUUUAUGAAAUUUAUUUGAAUAAGUUUCAAUGUCGCGCACUUAUUGUUUUUGUACACAUUAUGAAUCACGUCACGUGAAACACACCCGCGGUCUGCAACAUGUUUAUUUUUAUUAUUGUUUGAAGUUGAGAUCGAGUCACGUGAAACGCGCACUCGAAUUGGGGUUAUGUAUCAUGACUAUGGCACGGGAACCGUAUCCACAAUCACGAUGAUCGCGACUAAAGCAAGCUACAAAUUUGAACUAUUUUUCCUUUUUUGAGAUUAUUGCAAAGCAUGAGAGUUAUGGAAGAUUAUUAUGGAAGAAAUGGUGUAAAUUAAUUAUAAAAAAAGGUAGGCUAGCUUAUGAAUUUUAUUAUUAUGGGCCUUGUAGAAUCUUGUCAUUUGACCCAAGAACUAAAAAAAAUCUGGUUCAUUACUCUACUCUAAUCCUAGUUGACCGAAUGACCCAAAUGUUAUUUAUGAUAUCAAACCCCAAACUUUUAUCUUAAAAUCCAAAAUGUUCAUCAUAGAUCCAUCAUCACCCCUAACAAAUGUUAACAAACAGAAAACAACUUAAAACAACUUAUGCAAAUUACGAACAGGAAAAGAAAGAAUAAAGAAAAAUUAAAUGAAAGAAAAAUAAUAAAUUUAAAAAAAAACACUCAAAGAAUCAACACCUAUUUACAAGAAAAAAUCGCUCAAAAGGAAACUAUGAUUCCAAUUUAACAAACUUAAGACACUUUCGAAAGCUAAUCAUAAGGACUAAAUAAUCAAGCUCAUAUAGCAGAAUAAAAGAAACUCAAUUCAUUUUCCACAUGUUACACGAAUCAAAAACAUAUAAUCAUAUGCUUAAGAAUAGAAUUAAAAAUAUAGUGGGAAAAACCAACCUUAAUGGCUGAGAAGAAAACCGGAUCAAAACAAAAGAAGACUGACGAACCGGAGCUGUAAUCGAGAACCUCGAACGACUUCAAACUUUAAUUCUUACCUUGCUGAAUAAAUGACCUAUGAGUGCGUUUUGUGAGCUACGUUUUUGUAGGUUGUUUAGAGUAGAGAAGGGUGGUUUUCAAGCCGAAUUUAUGGGGAUCUCCAGCGAGUUUGGGGACUAUUUGCUAACGGAUGGAACUUAGCUCAUGGGUUUUGGGUAAUUUUUGGCUGUAGAUCUCAAUUGCUGCGUUUUUCAGAUGAUGUUUCUGAUGAAGUGGUGUUGGAAGCAACAAUGAAUUUUUCUUCUUCUUGUUGCAUUAUCAUUUGCCCUGUUUUCCAAUCGAAGGUCCUUGAGCUUAUCCAAGAUCCACCAGUUUUCCCCUCUUUAAAUUCCCUCACUCUCGAUUUGCCUUUUUCUCUCGUUUUUUAUUUUUUAAUCUGUUGCGGCUCCCCUCUUG